CCGUCCUUUACGCAUCCGUCCUUUGACGUCCGUCCGUUAGCAGAGGAGCCCACGUUGGUGGCGAGGUCUCAGGUGUGGCGUCACUGCCUGCUGCCGCUUCCUCUGGCGCUCUGGGCCGGAGCAAGAGCCGAGAAGAGGGCCUGUUUCCAGCCUCUCCUCGGAAGUGAUGCCCGGAAGUGACUCUGUGGAGCAGCUCAGUUACAGAGGCGAGGAGCCCGGGCAGCGGCUCGGGGCAGCGCACAGGCCGCAGCGCAGAAGGCUCGGCGUCGGGCACCAUGGUGACCAGGGUCGCCCUGGCCGCCCGGUGCCGGGGAUGAGGAGCGAGCAGACAUUGACAACCGAGGAAGUGAGGCGCAGAGAGAUUAAAUGAAACCCGCCGGGAUGACCCAGUACCAACAGAGCCAGCAUUUGAACUCGGGCUUCUGAGCCACGAGUCGUUUCGGGCCCAGGUCUUGUCCAGCCUCGGAUGGUGCUGUCAGGACAGACGCGAAGGGUUGUCCCCGACUGUGGUUGGUUCCUCUGGAAGAAAUCAAGAAAAAGUGGGAGCCUUUCUGGUGUUUCCUCAGGUUGAAGCUUGUAGAUUAUACAGCAGGUUCUCUGCCCAGCCAAGCAGCAUACCAUUCAUUCCCUCUGUCCCUGAGAGGGGAGCAGUCACAUCAGGAGGCCCAAAGGGAGACACCCAUAUGGUGAAGAGCUGCAGUCUCCAGCCACCAUUUGGCAAGAAGCUGGGGUCUGACAACACCUGUGUUGAUGAGCUCGGUGAUGAGGGUUCUGCAGUCGGACCUUGGCCAGAGCCAUGCAGUUUGGACAGUGGAAUACAACUCCACUAGACAAAGGGCUGCAAGGUGACACACUGCGGCUUCCUCCUCCUGGCAGACAGAGGGACCAAGGAUGGGGCAGAGGGAAGUGUCCCAGGCCCUUGUGGGCACCAGGUGGCUCCAAGUGUCAGAGAAGCCUGUGGCACUUUGGACUUGUCUUCUCUGUGCCGGACAGAGGCAGCUAGAUCAGGGCCCAGAAUCUCCCCCAUCCUGUGUGCAUGCUGCUUAGCCCAUCCCUGGCACCUGGACCGCCCUCAGCCUCUCCUCAGUGGGUGCAAGGAAAUCUUACAUGGUGAUUUGACACAUCUAACAAAUUGAGCUGCUUUUACAAAUCAACAAGGCCUGCCAGUUUUUUCCUUCUACCCAAGGCUGCCAGGUGCCCCUGACAAGUGCCAGGAGAUGGAAUAAAGCAGAUGGUGGGAAAUACAAGUG
rnacentral:lncRNA from 1 species